GUCAUCGCGCUUGGUUGAAAAGCCAGUGGCGCGAAGCUACCGUGCGCUGGAUUAUGACUGAACGCCUCUAAGUCAGAAUCCGGGCCAGAAGCGACGCGUUGUCCGCCGCUCGUUUGCCGACCAGCAGUAGGGGCCCUCCGGCCCCCAAAGGCACGUGUCGUUGGCUAAGCCCUCGCGGCGGACGAGCCGCGCGGGCCGCCUUGAAUUACAAUUUCCACCGGGCGGCGGACUGAAUCCUUUGCAGACGACUUAAAUACGCGACGGGGUAUUGUAAGUGGCAGAGUGGCCUUGCUGCCACGAUCCACUGAGAUUCAGCCCUUCGUCGCUCCGAUUCGU
rnacentral:ncRNA from 1 species